UACGGGGGGGGCAAGCGUUGUCCGGAUUUACUGGGCGUAAAGAGCGCGCAGGCGGUCGUUCAAGUCGCGUGUGAAAGCCCCCGGCUCAACUGGGGAGGGUCACGCGAUACUGAUCGACUCGAAGGCAGGAGAGGGAAGUGGAAUUCCCGGUGUAGUGGUGAAAUGCGUAGAUAUCGGGAGGAACACCAGUGGCGAAGGCGACUUCCUGGCCUGUUCUUGACGCUGAGGCGCGAAAGCUAGGGGAGCAAACGGG
rnacentral:rRNA from 1 species